AGCGCCUUCUGCAAACCCUUCUCCCUUCUGCAAACCCUACUCCCUCUCUGGCUCUAUCGCGGCUCGCCCUCGCCCUCGCCUCUCGCUUGCUCGCCCUCGCCCUCGCUCUCUCUCCCGGCCCGCCCUCGUCCUCGCCCUCGCUCGCUGCCUCGCCCUCGCUCUUGCUUGCUCGCUCUCGCUCGCCCUCGCCUCUGGCUCUCUAACUCUUGCUCUCGCUGGGUGACUGGGUCGCUCGCCUCUCUGCAUUGCCAUUGGGACAUUUUGGUUCAAUCUUUUGAGGCAGGCAGUGGCCACUGGCCAGUGGGCAUCCCUUCAUGCUCUAGAGACCAAGAGACUAGAGAACCGCUUAUCACUGAACAUCUCUCAAACUAUAUAUAUGUGUAUAUAUAUAGAGAGAGGGAGAGAGGAGUAGAUCAACGAAGUGGCAAGACAGACAUAGAAAGGAAAGCUUAGAGAGAGAAUCUUACCAUAACACUGAACAGAGUGAGUGAACAAACAAAGAAAGAAUGAGGAAGAAGGUGGAUGAACGCAUCAGAACUCUCAUUGAGAAUGGAGUCAAGACCAGGCACCGAUCAGUGUUUGUCAUAGUUGGUGACAAAUAUCGUGACCAAAUUGUGAAUCUUCAUUACAUGCUUAGCAAAGCUGUAAUCAAGUCAAGGCCAACUGUUCUAUGGUGCUAUAGGGACAAACUUGAACUUAGCAGUCAUAAGAAAAAGCGUGCAAAGCAAAUUAAAAAGUUCAUGCAGAGGGGACUGUUGGAUCCUGAGAAAGUUGAUCCUUUUUCACUUUUUGUUGAAACUGGAGGAAUAACAUACUGCCUGUACAAAGAUUCAGAAAGGAUUCUUGGGAAUACUUUUGGGAUGUGCAUACUUCAGGAUUUUGAGGCUUUGACACCAAAUCUCCUUGCAAGGACUAUUGAAACUGUUGAGGGGGGUGGAUUGAUAGUGCUGCUACUUCGUUCUCUGUCCUCACUCACAAGUCUUUACACAAUGGUUAUGGAUGUUCAUGAUAGGUUUCGUACUGAAUCUCAUUCAGAUGCUGCUGGACGCUUCAAUGAACGCUUCCUACUAUCUCUUGCAUCUUGUAAAGCAUGCAUAAUUAUGGAUGAUGAGCUGAAUAUCCUACCAAUUUCUUCUCACAUGAGAUCAAUUAAACCUGUUUCAGUAAAAGAGGACUCUGAGGGGCUCUCAGCAGCAGAACAUGACCUGAAGAAUCUGAAGGAGCAGCUGAAUGAUGAUUUUCCUGUUGGUCCACUAAUUAGAAAGUGUUGCACAUUGGACCAGGGAAAAGCUGUUAUUACAUUUCUUGAUGCAAUCUUGGAUAAGACACUUCGUAGCACAAUUGCUUUGCUUGCUAGUCGUGGCCGUGGAAAGUCAGCUGCAUUAGGCCUGGCAAUUUCUGGAGCUAUUGCUGCAGGGUAUUCAAACAUAUUUGUAACUGCGCCUAGCCCUGAGAACUUGAAAACUUUGUUUGAUUUUGUAAGCAAGGGUUUCGAUGCACUCGAGUACAAGGAACACUUGGAUUAUGAUGUGGUGAGAAGUAAGAACCCAGAGUUCAAGAAGGCAAUUGUUAGAAUCAACAUUUACAAGCAGCACAGACAAACAAUUCAGUACAUACAGCCACAUGAACAUGAAAAGCUAUCCCAAGUUGAACUGUUGGUUGUUGAUGAAGCAGCUGCAAUUCCAUUACCAGUGGUGAAGUCCUUGCUUGGCCCCUAUCUAGUUUUCCUUUCAUCUACGGUUAAUGGCUAUGAAGGUACUGGUCGGUCGUUGUCUCUAAAACUUCUGCAGCAAUUGGAGGAGCAGAAUAAAAUGUCAACCAAUAGCUUGGAUAACUCUCUUUCUGGUCGCCUUUUCAAGAAGAUAGAAUUGAGCGAAUCUAUCAGAUACGCAUCUGGUGAUCCAAUUGAAUCCUGGCUUCAUAGUUUGCUAUGUUUGGAUGUUACAAACUCCAUUCCUAAUAUCAACAGGUUACCUCCGCCCAGUGAGUGUGAUCUUUACUAUGUUAAUCGGGAUACACUUUUCUCGUAUCACAAAGACAGUGAGUUGUUUUUGCAGCGUAUGAUGGCCCUGUAUGUUGCUUCUCACUAUAAAAAUUCUCCAAAUGAUCUACAAUUGAUGGCGGAUGCUCCAGCUCAUCACUUAUUUGUUUUACUUGGUCCUGUUGAUGAGUCCAAAAAUCACCUUCCUGAUAUUCUCUGUGUAAUCCAGGUCUGUCUUGAAGGGAAGAUUUCUCGCAGAUCUGCCAUCAAAAGUUUAAGUGAUGGUCACCAGCCAUUUGGAGACCAAAUACCAUGGAAAUUCUGUGAACAGUUUCAGGACACAGUUUUCCCCAGUCUCUCUGGUGCUCGUAUUGUACGCAUUGCCACUCAUCCUAGUGCAAUGAGGCUUGGGUAUGGUUCAACUGCAGUGGAGCUUCUGGCAAGGUACUUUGAAGGACAGUUCACUUCUAUAUCUGAAAUAGAUGUGGAAACUACUCUGGAGUCUCCACAUGUUAGAGUUACAGAGGCAGCGGAGAAGGCUUCCUUACUAGAAGAAAAUAUUAAACCCAGAACAGACCUUCCACCUCUACUCGUACAUCUUCGAGAAAGGCGGCCUGAAAAGCUCCAUUACAUUGGUGUCUCAUUUGGGCUUACUCUCGAUCUUUUCCGGUUUUGGAGGAAACUCAAAUUCGCUCCAUUCUACAUUAGCCAGAUACCAAAUGCUGUGACUGGUGAGCAUACAUGCAUGGUUCUUAAACCAUUGAACAAUGAUGAUCUUGAAUUUAGUGGUUCGGACAAAUGGGGAUUCUUCAGUCCUUUUUAUCAAGAUUUCAGGCGGAGAUUUGUUGAACUAUUGAGUUGUAGCUUCUCUAAUAUGGAAUAUAAGCUUGCCAUGAGUGUAUUGGAUCCAAAGAUCAACUUUGUGGACCUAGAGGAUACAUUGUCCAGCAAUUCAGAUGAAUUUUUGAAGUCACUUGAUAAAAUUAUGACACCUCAUGACAUGAAGCGACUUGAAGCUUACACAAAUAAUCUUGUUGAUUUUCGUAUGAUUUUUGAUCUAGUGCGGCGCAUUUCCCGUCAAUAUUUUGAGGAGAAGCUUCCAGUCACGCUGUCAUAUGCCCAGGCAUCUGUCUUACUUUGCAUUGGUUUGCAGGAUAGGGAUAUUUCUUAUAUUGAGGGGGAGAUGAAGUUGGAGAGGCAGCAGGUAAUGUCACUGCAGAUGAAAGUUAUGAAGAAGUUACAUAAAUACCUAAAUGACAUUGCUUCCAAGGAGAUUGAUGCAACCCUACCUCGACUGAGAGAAAUUGUGAUGGAGCCUCACACUGUUUCUGUGGACGAGGAUCUUAAUGAAGCAGCGGAGAGAGUCAAGGAGGGAAUGGAAGCCAAGAUGGACAAGCUGUUAGAUCCGGAGCUACUCCAACACUAUGCAAUUUCAGACAGAGACGGUGAUUUGGAGAAGGCUUUGCAAAAUGGCAGUGGGAAGAUACCUGCCAGUGGUCUGAUCAGCGUAAAAUCAAGUAGAAAUAAGGUGGAAAAUCAUGGUAAACAGAAAGAAGGCCAGAAGAGUGGAAAGAAAAGAAACAAGGAUUAUGGUGGUGGUGGUUCCAAAUCAUAUAAGAAGACGAAAGCUUGAGCAUACAUAGUCAGACGGUAAGUCAGUCAUUAGGUGAUCAAACUGGAUAUAUCUUUUUGACCAUGUUAACUUAGGGUAGUGUUUGUUAAUUAAGAUAUAAAUUAAAAAAAAAGUGGUAUUUGAAAAGCAUUUUGAAUAAAAGUGCUUUUUAAAUAUUUGUUAAAUUUAUUUAGAAAGAAGUUAUGUGACUUUUUAUUUUUAGACUUUUCAGAUAAAUUUAUUUCUGUUCUUUCGGAUAAGCUAUCUUGACCUUACAGUGAAGUUAUUUUGAUAUAAUUUUCUCUUAUUUAUUUUAACAAACGCUACUUAAUAGUGCAAGGCGUUAUAAUUUUGAGGAGAUCCCACCCUUGUCAUAUUGAAGAGGCUAACUGUUUUUCUUUGGUGCUGUUUCCAACUCUCUCUCUCUCUCUCUCUCUCUCUCUCUAUAUAUAUAUAUAUAUAUAGGUACACCUACCUGUUCAACCAUAAUAUCUACUCUCUCUCUCUCUCUCUCUCUAUAUAUAUAUAUAGGUACACCUACCUGUUCAACCAUAAUAUCUACUCUCUCUCUCUCUCUCUCUCUCUAUAUAUAUAUAUAUAUAUAUAUAUAGGUACACCUACCUGUUCAACCACAAUAUCUAUCAAUAUGUGAAAUCCUCCUUGAAUUCACCAAUUGUAUUGAUAAUCUAAAGAAUGAUUAUAUAAUUCGACAUUCUCGCCAUAGCUUGAGCUCAUUAACAGUUUCUGUAAGGGAGAAAAAGAAGGAAGAGAUUGCAGGUCUUUGGCACCUAUAGAUUGGCCGACUUAUUGGAAGGUACAAGAAAGCAGCUUAGCUUUCUCCAUGGUUAGACUUCAAGAUGAGCUUUUUAUGUGGUUGGAAGUCUGCUAAAAAUUUUGAAAAUAUUCAAACUAUAGCAGCCCAAAGAGCUGAGGAGUAGCCUUCUGAACCUAUUGAUGAAAAUCAGAUUUUCCUUGAAGUGAUGGGCAAAGAAAGGCAUGGUCGAGUUCGUGGAUAUGGUUUUGGCCCCACACCUUCUUCAGUCUCUAGUAAGCUUCUUUCUCAAUUACAAAUGGCUUCAACAAUUAAAACACUAAGACAAGAGAAUAAAGAGUUGAAAGAAAAACUAAGCACAGUAGAGCAAACCCAAGCAGAAACUCUUAGCUUGCUGAAAAGCUUCAUGGAAGAGGUUAGAUUAGGAAGGGUUAGUAAUGAAUGAUGUUGCUCUACUGAUAUGACAUGUUUUGGUUGAUGAAUAGUGUUCAACAUUCCAUAUUUUGUUGGUUUAUUGAUUUUGUAAAGUGAUACUUUGAAUUAUAGCUUUUGAUUGUUGAUAAUGUGAGUAUAUAUAUAUGUUUUCCUUUUGGGUUA